UGCUGCAUGUAAACGCAUUAACCUGCUUUCUAUAUAAAAUAAGUCAUUGUAAAAACAGUUUUGUGAAAUUCUAAUUUUCUAAAUCUGAAAUUUCAUUCUAGAUAUGUGAGAUUCUUGCUGGUGCAGAUGGACAGCUUGAUACCCUGGUUAAAACCUUUGAAGAUUUCACAAGACUUCAGGAAGCACAUCCAGAGUCAGACUUUCCGUAGACUGGGCUACAUUUGCAAGAUGGAAAGGUGCAUUAAGAGCUGGGUGACAUGACUUCAGAUGCUAAAGAGGAGAGUGCUUUCAAAGUCCUGCCCAUUCUGGAGGAAGGGUCCACAGAACCACAGAAUUCUGGAAGCCAUUCAUUGACAUACAAACCUGU